rnacentral:rRNA from 1 species
ACCCAAUGACGUCUCUAGAAGACAUCUGAAAGAGAUUAAAGAUUCAUCGGUGAUGGAUGGGGAUGCGUCUGAUUAGCUUGUUGGCGGGGUAACGGCCCACCAAGGCAACGAUCAGUAGGGGUUCUGAGAGGAAGGUCCCCCACAUUGGAACUGAGACACGGUCCAAACUCCUACGGGAGGCAGCAGUGAGGAAUAUUGGUCAAUGGACGAGAGUCUGAACCAGCCAAGUAGCGUGCAGGAUGACGGCCCUAUGGGUUGUAAACUGCUUUUAUAAGGGAAUAAAGUGAGAGUCGUGACUCUUUUUGCAUGUACCUUAUGAAUAAGGACCGGCUAAUUCCGUGCCAGCAGCCGCGGUAAUACGGAAGGUCCGGGCGUUAUCCGGAUUUAUUGGGUUUAAAGGGAGCGUAGGCCGGAGAUUAAGCGUGUUGUGAAAUGUAGACGCUCAACGUCUGCACUGCAGCGCGAACUGGUUUCCUUGAGUACGCACAAAGUGGGCGGAAUUCGUGGUGUAGCGGUGAAAUGCUUAGAUAUCACGAAGAACUCCGAUUGCGAAGGCAGCUCACUGGAGCGCAACUGACGCUGAAGCUCGAAAGUGCGGGUAUCGAACAGGAUUAGAUACCCUGGUAGUCUGCACGGUAAACGAUGGAUGCCCGCUGUUGGUCUGAAUAGGUCAGCGGCCAAGCGAAAGCAUUAAGCAUCCCACCUGGGGAGUA